rnacentral:rRNA from 1 species
AACGAUACGUAGCCGACCUGAGAGGGUGAUCGGCCACACUGGAACUGAGACACGGUCCAGACUCCUACGGGAGGCAGCAGUAGGGAAUCUUCCGCAAUGGGCGAAAGCCUGACGGAGCAACGCCGCGUGAGUGAUGAAGGGUUUCGGCUCGUAAAACUCUGUUAUUAGGGAAGAACAAACGUGUAAGUAACUGUGCACGUCUUGACGGUACCUAAUCAGAAAGCCACGGCUAACUACGUGCCAGCAGCCGCGGUAAUACGUAGGUGGCAAGCGUUAUCCGGAAUUAUUGGGCGUAAAGCGCGCGUAGGCGGUUUCUUAAGUCUGAUGUGAAAGCCCACGGCUCAACCGUGGAGGGUCAUUGGAAACUGGGAGACUUGAGUGCAGAAGAGGAAAGUGGAAUUCCAUGUGUAGCGGUGAAAUGCGCAGAGAUAUGGAGGAACACCAGUGGCGAAGGCGACUUUCUGGUCUGUAACUGACGCUGAUGUGCGAAAGCGUGGGGAUCAAACAGGAUUAGAUACCCUGGUAGUCCACGCCGUAAACGAUGAGUGCUAAGUGUUAGGGGGUUUCCGCCCCUUAGUGCUGCAGCUAACGCAUUAAGCACUCCGCCUGGGGAGUACGACCGCAAGGUUGAAACUCAAAGGAAUUGACGGGGACCCGCACAAGCGGUGGAGCAUGUGGUUUAAU